rnacentral:lncRNA from 1 species
CCGCCCUGGACGGACGAGCCAGUCAGUCUCCCACCAACCAAAAAAAAAGAAGAUUGCAGGCAACAAUGAUUUGUUCAAUAUAAAUUAUUCAUAAUAAUAUUUCAGAUUUGUAAUAGUUUGAAAGAAAUAUGGAUACACAGCGGAGGACCAUGGAGGGUCAUAGACAGUGAAAUUCAUGGUAAAAGCCAGGAGUGUUCUGAGGAGUCACGGUCACCUGAGGUUGACCACUCUGAUCAAGCCGAAGCUAACCGGGCUACAGAUGUUAGCACUAGGCACCAAGGGCCAGCUAACCCUACACAGCCGAGGUCAUUAUAGGCGUCCGAGCCGGGGGAUCUGGGCCUUGAUAAGCCCAACCAAAUGGCUUUGAGAACGUACCCUACACGCCUUUUCUCGGGGAAGAAAAGAUCCUUCCAUACUGCCUGGUAUGCCAAAAGAGACUAGCUGGAGUACUCUAUACAAGCCAACGCUGCUUUCUGUUUCCUCUGCAGAAAGUUCAGAGCGCACUCAUCUGCUGUAGACACUAAAUUUAUGCUUGCUGGAUUUUGCGACUGGAAACAUGCAGUGGAGAUGGGAAAAGGAUUGAACAAACAUGCAGCUUUGAAAGAACACCUGCUUUGCGAGGCUAUGUGGAAGGACAAGGAGAGCCGAGCUUCGAUGGGAAAGAUCCUGUGUUGGCCCCGAUGGCGCAAUCCAUUCCACACAACGGCAGAUACACUAGCCAUGACGUCCAGAAAGAAUUAAUGGGCGUAAUGUCAGCUAUGAUCACUGUUCUGCCUUACGUAAGAAAUGCAUUGUUUUCAGUUUGUGUUAGUGUACAUCUUGCCUUAGUUUGGUAAAUACUGCCACCCUGUGGUCAAAUUUUGAUUCUGACGUCAGUAUAAACAACUGCAAGCCUACUUCCGUUUCUCUUCCUGAUUCACUCUACAGGGAAAGACCACGCUGUAAUAUCGCCCCUGCAAUCUAGUUCAAAAUAUGUUUUGAACUUUGGAAAUUAUUUGUCUGUAAGUAAAUAUCAGAUCAUUUCAUACUAGUUUGUGUUAAGAUUUACAGGAAUUACUUAAAAUGUGUUAGAUUCUGACCGAGUUUAAGUUUAAAAUGUUAUCUGUUUAGCAAUGCUAGCUCUCGGAUUCUCGUGUGUUAGCAAUGAUGCAAGACAUGUAAACCCAUGUACGUCUUUAUUUCUGUAUUUGUUACAGUUUUACAAACAAAACUUAUGAUGAAAAGAACAUUCAGUAAAGAACCAAGAAAAGAAAGCCUUGUGUACUGGAUUCCACUUCUUUAUAAAAAGUUAGCUAGCUGUCUAGUUUUGACUGGAACGCAUUACGAGGGCAGCAUAAUCACUGAGCACAUUGUUUGAGCGGUUGGGGAGUCGUUCUAUACGAUAUAAGUUGAUGGUACUCGAGACCCUACAG